rnacentral:rRNA from 1 species
UGGGGAAUAUUGCACAAUGGGCGCAAGCCUGAUGCAGCCAUGCCGCGUGUAUGAAGAAGGCCUUCGGGUUGUAAAGUACUUUCAGUCGGGAGGAAGGUGUCAAGGUUAAUAACCUUGGCAAUUGACGUUACCGACAGAAGAAGCACCGGCUAACUCCGUGCCAGCAGCCGCGGUAAUACGGAGGGUGCAAGCGUUAAUCGGAAUUACUGGGCGUAAAGCGCACGCAGGCGGUUGAUUGAGUCAGAUGUGAAAACCCCGGGCUUAACCCGGGAAUUGCAUCUGAUACUGGUCAGCUAGAGUCUUGUAGAGGGGGGUAGAAUUCCAUGUGUGGCGGUGAAAUGCGUAGAGAUGUGGAGGAGUACCGGUGGCGAAGGCGGCCCCCUGGACAAAGACUGACGCUCAGGUGCGAAAGCGUGGGGAGCAAACAGG